UGGGGAAUAUUGCACAAUGGGGGAAACCCUGAUGCAGCGACGCCGCGUGAGCGAAGAAGGCUUUCGAGUCGUAAAGCUCUGUCCUAUGAGAAGAUAAUGACGGUAUCAUAGGAGGAAGCCCUGGCUAAAUACGUGCCAGCAGCCGCGGUAAUACGUAUGGGGCGAGCGUUGUCCGGAAUUAUUGGGCGUAAAGGGUACGUAGGUGGUUUUUUAAGUCAGGUGUCAAAGCGUGGAGCUUAACUCCAUUAAGCACUUGAAACUGAAAGACUUGAGUGAAGGAGAGGAAAGUGGAAUUCCUAGUGUAGCGGUGAAAUGCGUAGAUAUUAGGAGGAAUGCCGGUGGCGAAGGCGACUUUCUGGACUUUUACUGACGCUCAGGUACGAAAGCGUGGGGAGCAAACAGG
rnacentral:rRNA from 1 species